CAAACAGCAGUGUGAGCAUUAAACACCAGACACAUAAGAAUAAUUACUUGAGGAGUAGAUUAUCAAUGUCCUCCAUCACUACCUCUGCUUCAUUAUCAACAUUGCCCUUAUCAAGUAGCCCAUCUUCAGCUCUGUCCUCACCAACUACUGCCACAACAUCCUCAACUACUUCAACAUCCAUGACAUCUUCCCUAAAAUUUAAAACAAAAUAUUUACAUUCAGUGUCUAUUUACACUAAUGUUCGCAUGGGAAUUCUACGACAUUCACUAUCUAGUCCUUAAUUAAAAAUAUUUCUCUAUACAAAAGUCCUGGCACUUUAUUUCCUUCAGCGGAAGUGUACCAUAUAACAUGUUAAUAUAGCUGUUCCAUGUACGUUUCAUAUCCCUGAUUGAGAACAUAUAUAAUUACUUUAGGUCUUACGCAAGGAAAUAGCCAAUCAAACUGAACUUAGUCAAUAGUAGUUCCAUAUAUAUAGAGACAAUUUCUUUUCUUUCUUCCUUUUUUGGCGCCUUAUUUUAGGCCUAUAGUAUUGAUUUUGGACUCAGUGGCUAGGAGAAUUAUUACUUUAGGGGAAUUGUCACACUAAUUUCAGUGGAACUAUUUUUUUAGAUGCGCAUGAUGCAACUUCCUGGAUGGUGCUGAGCCUGUUUGUCAACAUGUGGAACCCACGUGUAUUUGGGGGAGUUGUCUCCCUUGUUAAAGAUCAACAAUGUCGGAUAAACAAUGCGGGAUGCUGUCUUGUCACCAACGGUGAAAUUUGGCACCUGUGUACCCGUAUUUCAACCAAUCGUCUCAGUCCUCUUUGUUGUGUACACCAGACAGAUGAUGGACCACUCUACUUCCUUUUACAACAGGUGCCCCUACAGAUUCACAAAGUUCCAAUGUUGAAUUUCCAUGACCCCGAUUGAUCCGCGACAGGAGAAGGAAUGAAGUUGGCAGGACUUUCCGCACUGUCCUUGGUAGCAGCUGAUGAUGGAACGGACAGCGGUUGACAUGGCCCGUUUCAUCAAAGUUGCACCGGAAGCAGCAGCACUAUCUCCAUCACUGGUGAAAUGGGAAAUGAUGAGUGGACGGUCAUCACUUUGCAGCUCACUGAUGCAUUCCGCAGCCCAUCUCUUUUCGUCUCCAAUGGUGGUCUCUGGAGGAAUGGUUGCAGUGCAGCCUUCAUGUCCGGGGCAGGUCUGAUGAAUGUUGGUGGCUGAUGCUGGUUCGAUGUUUGCGCCAAGAAGCAUACCACGCAUACCCUCUGUUGUAAGGCUGGUACCGAAGUGACC